UAAUCUACCUUCGGAUGGGGAAUAACAGUCGGAAACGGCUGCUAAUACCGCAUAAUGCAGCGGCACCUAAUGGUGACAGUUGUUAAAGCGGGGGAUCGAAAGACCUCGCGUCUGAAGAGGAGCCUGCGGCGGAUUAGCUAGUUGGUAAGGUAAUGGCUUACCAAGGCUACGAUCCGUAACCGGCCUGAGAGGGCGGUCGGUCACACUGACACUGACAUACGGGUCAG
rnacentral:rRNA from 1 species